rnacentral:rRNA from 1 species
GACGAACGCUGGCGGCGUGCUUAACACAUGCAAGUCGAACGGAAAGUCCCUGCUUUUGUGGGGUGCUCGAGUGGCGAACGGGUGAGUAACACGUGAGUAACCUGCCCUUGACUUUGGGAUAACUUCAUGAAACUGGGGCUAAUACCGGAUAGGAGCUCCUGCUGCAUGGUGGGGGUUGGAAAGUUUCGGCGGUUGGGGAUGGACUCGCGGCUUAUCAGCUUGUUGGUUGGGUAGUGGCUUACCAAGGCUUUGACGGGUAGCCGGCCUGAGAGGGUGACCGGCCACAUUGGGACUGAGAUACGGCCCAGACUCCUACGGGAGGCAGCAGUGGAGAAUAGUGCACAAUGGGCGGAAGCCUGAUGCAGCAACGCCGCGUGCGGGAUGACGGCCUUCGGGUUGGAAACCGCUUUCGCCUGUGACGAAGCGUGAGUGACGGUAAUGGGUAAAGAAGCACCGGCUAACUACGUG